CGGUCUUAGUUCAAAUUUCUUUUAGAAACAGAACAUCCUUUCAUGCUUUCACCUAAGUUAUAAAACCCAGGGCGGGCUUUGCCAGAUCAUCAGCUGUGGUGCAACAGGGUCUUGCACAGAUGAGAUUACAUCCACCCUGGGCAGCUUUCUUGAGCCUUGGGGGACCAGCUUAAUGAUGAACCCUAAUUUUCUGUUGUCCCUUGCUGCCUAUCUAAGACUGCGAGCGAUCUGAAUGCAACACUCGGAGCACUCAAAUGUGAGCAGAAAUACAGCUUUUCAUGUAAACUAAGUGAAGAAGGGUCUUGCUUUGUUGCCCAGCCUAGCGUGCAGUGGUGU
rnacentral:lncRNA from 1 species